CCUUGUUAAAAAGCCCAUGAUUAGAAUCAGCUAAGAGCAAUGUACUUAACUCGGGUACGCCUUUAUCAAAAAGGACUGUUAUAUUAUGAAAACACUGAAGUUUAUCAUUUACUGUCAAUUUAACAAGACAUCACAGUCUUGGAACUGAAAUACAGAAAAUAUGACAUUUCAGGGUAGUAAACAUGGCCCUGAAGAAAAAGAAAACUGUGCCAGUUUUGUACCUGGUACAAACAUCAAUCUUUUGCCCUUGGUGUUUCUUAAACAUGAGCUUCCAGCACUGAUUCUUCUCCAACAAGCGAGCAGAUACCAGUAAACUGCUGGACCGGAUAAAUAAAAUUAGAAGGCUGUGGAGGGCAGCAAGUUUACUUAAAUAGUGACUCCAUAAAUUUGCCAUCUGUAAAUAAUCUUUUAAAUUAAUCUUAGGCUAUUCCUUUUUAUGUGUAAUAUAUAUACAUAUUUCUAUUUAUAUAAAAUGCAUAGAAUUGAUUACUAAAAACACUGAAACUUGUGGGGAAAAUUAAGUCCUUCAUUUUCAGUGUGACUAAAAACGUACUGCUGGUUUUUAUUUUAUGAUCUAAUACUGUAAUUUUUAAAAUUAAUAUCAGGCACAUUUAUUUCAUCGAUGAUUAUUAAAUAAAACACUGCUUGUAUUAAUGGAGUAAAGAAAAGUUCAUCCAUUAUUAGCUUAUUGUCAACGCUGUACUAGACCUGUACUAGUGGUAUGCAGUUCAUUUAUCAAAGAAAUGCUGUAAAUCCAAAACAUUUGUAGAGUUUUACACUCAAAUGCUUUGUCCUGUUUCUUCCAGUAAAUGGUAUAAGAUUAUAUUCCAGAUUUUUAAGGAAAAAAAGUUAAGUCAAGCCUGCAAGAUACAGCUCUCUCAAGUGUCUACAAUGCCAGUAUGAAAAUAAAAAAUUAAGUUACAUUGAUACAUCCAAGUUUUUUUAUAUGCAGUGAUGAGCACAAACAUUAAUAGAGAUAAAAUACUGAUGCAAAUAACACACCCCAAAAUAACAUA
rnacentral:lncRNA from 1 species